rnacentral:lncRNA from 1 species
GUUAAUACUUACAGGUUGCUUCCUUGGCGCCAUUUUGCAUAUUCUGUGGUAUCAUACCGGAAACAUGUGUUAUGUUUUCGCAAUAUUUUUUUUAAGUUAUGAAUUAUGAAUUUUGAAUUUUGAAUUCUGAAUUUUGAAUUUUGAAUGAUCCUUCUCGGCUUUCGUAAUGAUGUAUGACAGAGACAAAUAACAUUAAAUUGGCAUUUUUAAGCCACUCAUUAUUAAAUAUUAAAAAGCAAAUAUAAUCAUUGAUAGAAGAUUUUCAGCAAAAAAUUACAGGUGAGAGAUUCCGGCUCUUGAGAGCCUCUUGUAUAUUUUAUUUAGGCGAAUUUUUACAUCUUUGAUACCCAUUGUAUUGAAUCAUAUAUAUGUAAAUAAAAUUGUUUUUUUCUAGUUUAAAAAUAAAUUAUUCUGCUGUGUACAUGUUACCGAUUAUCCUGUUGUUAACUGCACUAGUCUAGCGGGUUUCAGAAUAAUUCAUUACUGUAUGAUAAAAGCAUGGAAAUUUGUACAAGGUUUGUUAUGAAAUGAAGCCACGAAAUUAAAAAGAAUAAAUCUGGCCACCAAAUUAAAGAUGUUCGACAUAAGGUACGAGAAAAGAGUAAUACACAAGUUCCUUACAUAUUCAAUGAUGGCAUAAAAUGAAAGCACAGAGUAUAAGAUGUAUUAUCA